AACGAACGCUGGCGGCAGGCUUAACACAUGCAAGUCGAACGGGUGUAGCAAUACAUCAGUGGCAGACGGGUGAGUAACACGUGGGAACCUUCCUAGGGGUACGGAACAACUCAGGGAAACUUGAGCUAAUACCGUAUACGUCCGUGAGGAGAAAGAUUUAUCGCCCUUAGACGGGCCCGCGUCGGAUUAGCUAGUUGGUGGGGUAACGGCCUACCAAGGCGACGAUCCGUAGCUGAUCUUAGAGGAUGAUCAGCCACACUGGGACUGAGACACGGCCCAGACUCCUACGGGAGGUAGCAGUGGGGAAUCUUGGACAAUGGGCGCAAGCCUGAUCCAGCCAUGCCGCGUGAGUGAAGAAGGUCUUCGGAUUGUAAAGCUCUUCUGCCAGGGACGAUAAUGACGGUACCUGGAGAAUAAGCCCCGGCAAACUUCGUGCCAGCCGCCGCAGUAA
rnacentral:rRNA from 1 species